GAGAAUAUUGAAGUGGUUUGAUGACAUCGGGAAAUGAAAACAAACAAGCAGAUGUUUUGGCCAAUCUAGCCUCAACUUUGUCCUUCUUUAGCAUAAGCACAAAUAUGCACGUGGAUUGUUCCUCCAACGGUAGAUGAUGAAGAAGAGGAUUUGAUACUCUCUAUCUGUCAAAUUGACAAAAAAGACUGGUGUCAACCGCUGAUUGACUACCUAGAGCAUGAAAAGUUGUCUAAUGAGGUGCACCACAAAACAGAAAUAAAACAUAGAGCAAUAAGCUUCGUUUACUAUAAAGGCACACUUCACCAACGAUUCUUUGAAGGAGUAUGGUUGUGUUGCCUAGGGGAAGACGAAGCAAGAAAGGCAUUGAAAGAACCGCACUCGGAGGUAUGUGAGGCUCAUCAAUCUAGCCCUAAGCUACAUUUUCGGAGUAAAAGAAUGGGGUACUACUGGCCUACUAUGGCGAAGGAAUGCAUGGACUAUGCAAAGAAGUGCCCAGAAUGCCAGUUCUAUAGCAAUCUCAUCCAUCAACCACCUGAGCCGCUUCAUCCAACUAUUGCUUCCUGGCCAUUUGAUGCUUGGGGAUUGGAUGUAGUUGGACCCCUAUCAAAAAGCUCAGCUGGACAUUUUUACUUUCGGCUAUAAUGGACUAUUUUUCUAAAUAGGCUGAGGCUAUAGCAUUGAAGGAAGUAAAAAAAGAUAAUGUAGUAGAUUUCGUUCGAGUCAAUGUUAUUUACUGAUACGGUCUGCCCCGUUACAUCAUAACUGAUAUUAGUACGCCAUUUCAAAAUAAGGCCAUGGACAAGCUAUGCAUACAAUUCAACUUCAAGCAGCAUAAUUCUUUGAUGUAUCAUGCACCAGCUAAUGGUUUGACAACAGUUUUCAAUAAUACUUUGCGCAAUUUGCUUAAGAAGAUUAUUAAUAGCUUUACAAGAAAUUGGAAUGAGAAGAUUGGAGAAAUUUUAUGGGCUUACCGCAAACAUACCGAACACCAACCCAAGCCACCCCAUAUUCGCUUAUAAAUGGUGUAGAAGUCGUGCUACCACUUAAAUGUCAAGUUCCUUCUCUUCGAAUUGUUGUUCAAGAGGGACUUUCCAUUGAAGAUAUUGUUAGUCUACACUUUGAAGAACUUGAAGCAUUAGAUGAAAAGAGACUUGAAGCACAAUAAAGACUAGAGUGUUAUCAAGCUAGGCUUUCUAAAUCCUUCAACAGAAGAGUUUGUCUUCUUUCCUUUUAAGUUGGAGAUUUGGUCUAGCACUGAGAAGGCCAAUUAACAUGUUUAGAUGUAUGGGAAAUAAGUUUCUCUCAAAUUGGGAUGACCCUUAUAUUGUUUGAGAAGUUUAUUCCAAUGGUUGAUAUAAAAUUAUUAAUAAAGAUGGAGUGAAUGUUGGGC
rnacentral:lncRNA from 1 species